GUGGGGAAUAUUGGUCAAUGGGCGCAAGCCUGAACCAGCCAUGCCGCGUGCAGGAAGACGGUCCUAUGGAUUGUAAACUGCUUUUAUUUGGGAAUAAACUCCGGUACGUGUACCGGCCUGAAGGUACCAAAUGAAUAAGCACCGGCUAACUCCGUGCCAGCAGCCGCGGUAAUACGGAGGGUGCAAGCGUUAUCCGGAAUCAUUGGGUUUAAAGGGUCCGCAGGCGGUCUUAUAAGUCAGUGGUGAAAGCCUACAGCUCAACUGUAGAACUGCCAUUGAUACUGUAGGACUUGAAUUCGAUCGAAGUGGGCGGAAUGUGACAUGUAGCGGUGAAAUGCUUAGAUAUGUCACAGAACACCGAUAGCGAAGGCAGCUCACUAGGUCUGGAUUGACGCUCAGGGACGAAAGCGUGGGGAGCAAACAGGAUUAGAUACCCCUGUAGUCC
rnacentral:rRNA from 1 species